CCGAGUGCGGGUCUUUAUGGCCCAACCUCCCACCCGUGACUAUUGUACCUUGUUGCUUCGGCGGGCCCGCCAGCGUUGCUGGCCGCCGGGGGGCGACUCGCCCCCGGGCCCGUGCCCGCCGGAGACCCCAACAUGAACCCUGUUCUGAAAGCUUGCAGUCUGAGUGUGAUUCUUUGCAAUCAGUUAA
rnacentral:misc_RNA from 1 species